GGUUUGUUUUUUUCUUCUAUUUAAGCCAACUUUUGUAUUUGAAAGUCUAUUCAUAGAGCCGAGAUUUUCUCUUUCUUUUCUAUUCGUCUCCUCUUCUCAGAACCCUAACUAAGCCAAGCGGUUAUGGCAAUGCUUGGCUUAGUUAGGAUUCUGAGAAGAGGAGAACAACGAUCUGGGAUUCUCUGAGGUUGCUUUCGAUAUAAACAAGAAGCUGGAUAAGCUUGUCUCGAUUAUGGCAGGCAGGAAUUCGCUUUCCCCUCCUUCGCAGGAGCCACCGAUUGACUGUGAAAUUGACAAUCUGGAGCUGUUCGAGAUUCUUUGGAAGGCGAGUGGGAAGCUUGAGGUACUAUUAUUGCUCAUGUCGAGCAAGGAGCAAGGACUGAAGGCAUAACCCUAAGCUCCAAAGCCUUAUUAUGACCCUUUAAACUUCUGCGUUUCUUAUAGUAAUUUCGGUUCUUAAUCUUGUAAAUCCUUAUUUUCAUAGUUUUACAUGUUCAAGGUCCACAGCCCGCUUCUCUCUAACUCCUCAAUCUUUUAUUUUAUUUUUUUGUUCACUCUUUUCUUGUGUCUUCAAAAUUCUCCCAGUUAGUCCUCUAUCAUUAAGUCUGUUUUUGGUAAAUAAAGUAAAAAUAAACAAA